CGGCCUACGGGACGCAGCAGUGAGGAAUAUUGGUCAAUGGGCGGGAGCCUGAACCAGCCAAGUCGCGUGAGGGAAGACGGUCCUAUGGAUUGUAAACCUCUUUUGUCGGGGAGCAAAGAGGCCACGUGUGGUCAAAAGCGAGAGUACCCGAAGAAAAAGCAUCGGCUAACUACGUGCCAGCAGCCGCGGUAAUACGUAGGGGGCAAGCGUUAUCCGGAUUUACUGGGUGUAAAGGGAGCGUAGACGGCCAGACAAGUCUGAAGUGAAAAUCCAGCGCUUAACGUUGGAAGUGCUUUGGAAACUGC
rnacentral:rRNA from 1 species